GACGAACGCUGGCGGCGUGCUUAACACAUGCAAGUCGAACGGAAAGGCCCUGCUUUUGUGGGGUGCUCGAGUGGCGAACGGGUGAGUAACACGUGAGUAACCUGCCCUUGACUUUGGGAUAACUUCAGGAAACUGGGGCUAAUCCCGGAUAGGAGCUCCUGCUGCAUGGUGGGGGUUGGAAAGUUUCGGCGGUUGGGGAUGGACUCGCGGCUUAUCAGCUUGUUGGUGGGGUAGUGGCUUACCAAGGCAUUGACGGGUAGCCGGCCUGAGAGGGUGACCGGCCACAAUGGGACUGAGGUACGGCCCAGACUCCUACGGGAGGCAGAAGGGGGGAAUAUUGCACAAUGGGCGGAAGCCUGAUGCAGCAACGCCGCGUACGGGAUGACGGCCUGCGGGUUGUAAACCGCUUUCGCCUGUGACGAAGCGUGAGUGACGGUAAUGGGUAAAGAAGCACCGGCUAACUACGUG
rnacentral:rRNA from 1 species